UCACAGUCAAAGGAUUCACUUCUAUUAUGCCAUGGCUGGCUAUUAGUGAGAAGAAUCUUCCUGACUUUGCUGAAGGAGAGAAAAUCGAGAUUUCUAAAGUUGAUCUAGAUGAGGGGAACACUUCGCCUCCAGAUCACCUCAACGAAAGUGAGCUGAUCUCUUUGAUGGAGAAACAUGGUAUUGGAACAGAUGCGUCAAUCUCCGUACAUAUUAACAAGAGUUGAACUUCUCAUUUGUUGUUCAGCUCUGGAGUAAAGUGACAGUCUUUGUACUUCAGUAGUACUUGUCCCAUUAUUGAUUCUUUUGGUUCAAGAAAAAAAAAAGAGGCAAUAACUAUGCUUCAAUCCCAGGCUAGUUGGCGUUUGUAAUCUGAGUUCUCAGUUUCCAUUCUGCUCCAUUUUACCAGACACUUUAUUCUUUCUUCUGCUAGAAAUUGACUAAACAUGCUGUAUUAACUAAUAGAAAUAAUUGACUAAACAUGUUGUAUUGGCAACAGAAAUAGUCCAAGUGUGUUUUGCUGAAUUCGUAUUUCCGAAGCUUGUCGUCCAUAAUAAAUGCCCCUGUAGGUUCAGUAUUUAUAUUCAGAAUGUACAUUGUCCUAUAUUUUACGACAAUUACGUGCAUAUGGUGAGGGGUUUCCCAUUUCAGCUUCGUUUUACUUUGGUUGGUUUUGCUUUGAAACUUUUAGGGGAACACUUCGCCUCCAGAUUACCUCAACGAAAGUGAGCUGAUCUCUUUGAUGGAGAAACAUGGUAUUGGAACAGAUGCGUCAAUCUCCGUACAUAUUAACAACAUAUGUGAACGCAACUAUGUCCAGGUUUUGCUAUAUGCAUUGUUUUCCAUUUCUGGCUGCUGUAGGUGGUCCUCUCUGUUGCUUUCAGUUAUGGUUCCUUUGACAUGAAACCAUCUUCUAUUAGAAAU
rnacentral:lncRNA from 1 species